AGAAUCAACGCUGGCGGCGUGCCUAACACAUGCAAGUCGCACGAGAAAGGGGCUUCGGCCCUGAGUACAGUGGCGCACGGGUGAGUAACACGUGAAUAAUCUACCUCCGAGUGGGGAAUAACUGAGAGAAAUCUUAGCUAAUACCGCAUAACACUUACGAGUCAAAGCAGCAAUGCGCUUGGAGAGGAGUUCGCGGCCGAUUAGUUAGUUGGCGGGGUAAUGGCCCACCAAGACGAUGAUCGGUAUCCGGCCUGAGAGGGCGCACGGACACACUGGAACUGAAACACGGUCCAGACUCCUACGGGAGGCAGCAGUGGGGAAUUUUGCGCAAUGGGGGAAACCCUGACGCAGCAACGCCGCGUGGAGGAUGAAAUCCCUUGGGAUGUAAACUCCUUUCGAUAGGGAAGAUAAUGACGGUACCUAUAGAAGAAGCCCGGCUAACUUCGCGCCAGCAGCCGC
rnacentral:rRNA from 1 species